rnacentral:rRNA from 1 species
GACGAACGCUGGCGGCGUGCUUAACACAUGCAAGUCGAGCGGUAAGGGCCCUUUCGGGGGUACACGAGCGGCGAACGGGUGAGUAACACGUGGGUGACCUGCCCUCAGCUCUGGGAUAAGCCUGGGAAACCGGGUCUAAUACUGGAUAUGACUCCAUGACGCAUGUUGUGGGGUGGAAAGCCUUGUGCGGCUGAGGAUGGACCCGCGGCCUAUCAGCUUGUUGGUGGGGUGAUGGCCUACCAAGGCGACGACGGGUAGCCGGCCUGAGAGGGCGACCGGCCACACUGGGACUGAGACACGGCCCAGACUCCUACGGGAGGCGGCAGUGGGGAAUAUUGGACAAUGGGCGAAAGCCUGAUCCAGCAAUGCCGCGUGUGUGAAGAAGGCCUGCGGGUUGUAAAGCAC